rnacentral:rRNA from 1 species
GACGAACGCUGGCGGCGUGCUUAACACAUGCAAGUCGAACGAUGAAGCCGGAGCUUGCUCUGGUGAAUUAGUGGCGAACGGGUGAGUAACACGUGAGUAACCUGCCCUUGACUCUGGGAUAACUGCGGGAAACUGUAGCUAAUACCGGAUACGACCCUCGGAGGCAUCUCCUGGGGGUGGAAAGAAUUUCGGUCAAGGAUGGACUCGCGGCCUAUCAGCUAGUUGGUGAGGUAAAGACUCACCAAGGCGACGACGGGUAGCCGGCCUGAGAGGGUGACCGGCCACACUGGGACUGAGACACGGCCCAGACUCCUACGGGAGGCAGCAGUGGGGAAUAUUGCACAAUGGGCGCAAGCCUGAUGCAGCAACGCCGCGUGAGGGAUGACGGCCUUCGGGUUGUAAAUCUCUUUUAGCAGGGAAGAAGCGAAAGUGACGGUACCUGCAGAAAAAGCACCGGCUAACUACGUGCCAGCCGCCGCAGUAA